GAUCAUGGCUCAGGAUGAACGCUGGCGGCGUGCCUAACACAUGCAAGUCGAACGGAGUUGUUUGAGGAAAUCCUUCGGGAUGGAAUCUUCCAACUUAGUGGCGGACGGGUGAGUAACGCGUGAGCAAUCUGCCUUUCAGAGGGGGAUAACAGCCGGAAACGGCUGCUAAUACCGCAUAAUGCAUUGAAUUCGCAUGUUUUUGAUGCCAAAGAUUUUAUCGCUGAAAG
rnacentral:rRNA from 1 species